AGAGUUUGAUCCUGGCUCAGAACGAACGCUGGCGGCGUGCCUAACACAUGCAAGUCGAACGGGAUUAAGGGGCUUGCCUCUUAAUUUAGUGGCGCACGGGUGAGUAACGCGUGGAUAACCUGCCCUGGUAUCCGGGAUAACAUCUCGAAAGGGGUGCUAAUACGGGAUAAGCCCACGGGGUCUUCGGACCUUGCGGGAAAAGGUGGCCUCUGAAUAUGCUGCCGUAUCAGGAUGGGUCCGCGUACCAUUAGCUAGUUGGUAGUGUAAUGGACUACCAAGGCUACGAUGGUUAGCUGGUCUGAGAGGAUGAUCGGCCACACUGGAACUGAGACACGGUCCAGACUCCUACGGGAGGCAGCAGUGGGGAAUUUUGCGCAAUGGGGGAAACCCUGACGCAGCAACGCCGCGUGAGUGAUGAAGGCCUUCGGGUCGUAAAGCUCUGUCAGAGGGAAAGAAGUGUAGCAUGGUUAAUACCCAUACUACUUGACGGUACCCUCAAAGGAAGCACCGGCUAACUCCGUG
rnacentral:rRNA from 1 species